GAAUACAGGCCAUUAUCUGGCAUUGUUAUCCCACAGAGGGCUAGUUUUACAUAUCAUCCAGUUACACAGACAUGCCGUAGAGAGUCCAUUCACCUUCUCCAAUACAGAAGUACCCCACCAGGGAAGGCAACCUGCAUCCUCCUGAUUACAAGCAGCAAUAAGCCCUGGGAAAACGUGACAGCUUCAAUUCACAUCCUCUAGUAUCAAGGGAGACCGUCACCAUCAACCCCCAAGUCACUGGACCACCUUCACAAAACUUUAUUUCAACAAGAUACUGAAUUUGAAUCUAGUAUUUUAAUCCACGAGGCUGACAGUGAUACUAUACUACUAGUUCAGUAACACGUGUGUUGAAUAUGACCACUUUUGUUGUAUCAAACCGCUCAUAAGAUGCUAACUAUGGAUUUGAUAUCGCAAUGGAACCAACGUGUUUAGAACAAAAAGCAUUACGUUGUUUUUUUUUUCCAAUCUCAGGCUACGUUGCCAUUCUACUUGUAUUGCUGCUUUAUACUGUGUUUAUAGUCUUCAUUUUGUUUUAUUUAAUUAUAUUUUAUUGUGUAAAGCGCAUGUUUUAAGUUUGUAAGAUACAGCGCGAGUGCAUUUUUCCGUGCAAUUAUUUAUAGUCAGCGGCCUGGAUUUGAACCGUCCCCGCUGUGAAUUGAGCUCUGUUCCAUAGACACUUGAGGUGCAUGUUUCUCGCGUUACCUGUCCUCUGUCGAAACCACAAAACGAACAGAGGGUGACUGUUUUUAUUCCUGAUCCUGCGAUGCACAGCUGCGUCCGCUGCCAAGCGCGCUCUGGUCCCGCUGACAGCUCGCGCUGACUCACGCUCCUCAUCCCUCCGUGUCUCCGUGGCGCGGGAGAGCGGAGAUGUCAGGAAUGUGGAGAUGGAGCGGGAUAUGACCUCCCGAGCGGAUCCACAUGAUAAACAACAUGAAAGCAGGGUGCUGAAAGAGAAGGCGAUAAAUAAGCUGUUGAAAUGUGUGUCUGUGCGUGGGGGCGUUAGGAGGAGGCACCGCUGUCGGUGACUCAGGAUGGGAUUGGCGGGUGGCUCGGCCCCAGCUGAGGAGCAGACCAGCGGCCCACGGGUUCAACAUCAUCAAAUCUGCUUUACAAGCCUCACGGGACAGGAACUCUGUCACUGCCAACUCUACCCCAGCAAAAGUCCAAAGAAAAUGACCAGACCAGCGCUGAAUGUGCACUUUAAACACCAGAAUUUACCUAUAAAAAUCAGCUUCAGAAUCUUUUAUGAAAAAAGAAUGUUCUCUGAAUGUUUUGUUCUGAACAUGGGUUGAAACUGAAUGAUUUCCUUGUCAGGAAUUUUAAGGGGUCUUCCUGGUGCCAAAAGGUUUAAAGCCACGAUUUCAGUCUCAAGUCUUGGACAACCACUGUAUGACAUAAUGGCUUAUUAGUCACAGAGCUAUUA